AUGCAUAGGGGGCAAGCGUUAUCCGGAAUUAUUGGGCGUAAAGGGUGCGUAGGCGGUCUAUUAAGUCUGAGGUGUAAGUGCAGGGCUCAACCCUGUGAUGCUUUAGAAACUGGUAGACUUGAGUGAGAUAGAGGCAAGUGGAAUUCCAUGUGUAGCGGUAAAAUGCGUAAAUAUAUGGAGGAACACCAGUGGCGAAGGCGGCUUGCUGGGUCUAUACUGACGCUGAGGCACGAAAGCGUGGGGAGCAAACAGGAUUAGAUACCCUGGUAGUCCACGCCGUAAACGAUGAGUACUAAGUGUUGCGAGAACGCAGUGCUGAAGUUAACAUAUUAAGUACUCCGCCUGAGUAGUACGUACGCAAGUAUGAAACUCAAAUGAAUUGACGGGG
rnacentral:rRNA from 1 species